rnacentral:rRNA from 1 species
AGUGAACGCUGGCGGUAGGCCUAACACAUGCAAGUCGAACGGCAGCACAGUAAGAGCUUGCUCUUACGGGUGGCGAGUGGCGGACGGGUGAGGAAUACAUCGGAAUCUACUUUUUCGUGGGGGAUAACGUAGGGAAACUUACGCUAAUACCGCAUACGACCUACGGGUGAAAGCAGGGGAUCUUCGGACCUUGCGCGAUUGAAUGAGCCGAUGUCGGAUUAGCUAGUUGGCGGGGUAAAGGCCCACCAAGGCGACGAUCCGUAGCUGGUCUGAGAGGAUGAACAGCCACACUGGAACUGAGACACGGUCCAGACUCCUACGGGAGGCAGCAGUGGGGAAUAUUGGACAAAGGGCGCAAGCCUGAUCCAGCCAUACCGCGUGGGUGAAGAAGGCCUUCGGGUUGUAAAGCCCUUUUGUUGGGAAAGAAAGGCAGCAGGUUAAUACCCCGCUGUUCUGACGGUACCCAAAGAAUAAGCACCGGCUAACUUCGUG